rnacentral:rRNA from 1 species
GACGAACGCUGGCGGCGUGCCUAAUACAUGCAAGUAGAACGCAGUUGCGAACGGGUGAGUAACGCGUAGGUAACUGCCUCAUAGCGGGGGAUCACUAUUGGAAACGAUAGCUAAUACCGCAUACUGUGAGAUGGACCUGCGUUGUAUUAGCUAGUUGGUGAGGUAAAGGCUCACCAAGGCGACGAUACGUAGACGACCUGAGCGGAGGAUCGGCAACACUGAAACGGAGACACGUCACAGAGGGCCACGGGAAGGAGCAGUAGGGAAGGUGCGGAGAUGGACGGAAGACUGACCGAGCAACGCGGAGUGAGUGAAGAAGGUUGUCGGAUCGGAAAGCUCGGUUGUUAGAGAAGCGUUAACUGGCCAGAAAGGGGCGGCUAACUACGUGCCAGCAGCCGCGGUAAUAC